CUCGCUCUGCACGAGGACCUCUUCUGCUUCUCAGCUGACUUGUUGGGUGAAGGUGGCCACCAGAGGCUCCUGAGGCCAUAUGUUACUCUUCUGCCCUUUGGUGAAUCUCACAUCCUCACCCUCAGUCACAGGCACUCACCGUCAGCAAGAGUGAGGGUCACCCGAGAGCAACACGACAGCAAGGAACCAGACUCAUGUCUUGGAGGAGAUGUGCUGGGCAGAAAGGACCACCUCCUGGGAGCACCAUUCACAUGGUCCACGAUGGCCACCUGAACGGUAGCAGAUGUACUUUUCGGCUAUGGAAGCUCUCUGAUCUCUAACACUGGAUUCCUGGAUUCACCCGGAUGAAAAAGGAGAGACAAGGUCUGAGGUUGAAGCAGCAAAAGCAGAAAGGACGUGAAGCUUGAAGGAAAGAAGAUCAACUCCUACCCGGUCGGUCCUCUGCGUGCCUUUCCCUGGGCUUCCGAUUCUGUGCCGUGUGGAUGUAGUAACAGCAAUUCCCUAGGCUCUUUCCAAAUCUCACUUUCAGAGUCUGUUUCAACAUUUCCACUAGUCCACAGGAGAUGUAAUUGCACUCACGAUCAGUUACUCUGCGGGCCUAUUUCAGCUUCUUUCCUGCCUUUAUUUUAUGUCUGGAACGUUGUUUUUCUUUCUCU